rnacentral:rRNA from 1 species
CACACUGUAAACGAUGAUAACUCGCUGCCGGCGAUACACAGUCGGUGGCCAAGCGAAAGCGAUAAGUUAUCCACCUGGGGAGUACGACCGCAAGGUUGAAACUCAAAGGAAUUGACGGGGGCCCGCACAAGCGGAGGAACAUGUGGUUUAAUUCGAUGAUACGCGAGGAACCUUACCUGGGCUUAAAUGUGGAGUGCAUUGGUGAGAAAUCAUCAUUUUCUUCGGAACUCUCUGCAAGGUGC